GAUGAACGCUGGCGGCGUGCCUAAUGCAUGCAAGUCGAGCGAACAGACGAGGAGCUUGCUCCUCUGACGUUAGCGGCGGACGGGUGAGUAACACGUGGAUAACCUACCUAUAAGACUGGGAUAACUUCGGGAAACCGGAGCUAAUACCGGAUAAUAUAUUGAACCGCAUGGUUCAAUAGUGAAAGACGGUUUUGCUGUCACUUAUAGAUGGAUCCGCGCCGCAUUAGCUAGUUGGUAAGGUAACGGCUUACCAAGGCAACGAUGCGUAGCCGACCUGAGAGGGUGAUCGGCCACACUGGAACUGAGACACGGUCCAGACUCCUACGGGAGGCAGCAGUAGGGAAUCUUCCGCAAUGGGCGAAAGCCUGACGGAGUAACGCCGCGUGAGUGAUGAAGGUCUUCGGAUCGUAAAACUCUGUUAUUAGGGAAGAACAAAUGUGUAAGUAACUAUGCACGUCUUGACGGUACCUAAUCAGAAAGCCACGGCUAACUACGUG
rnacentral:rRNA from 1 species